ensembl:lincRNA
GUGGAAACCUGAACCAAGAUAAAACCCAAAAUCUGGCACAUCAGAUUAUUCUGUCUUCUGGCUUCGGUGACUAAUUUUGGAGACCCAGGCCUUUUCCUGGAAUGAUUAAGUAAGAGGUGCUUUCUUUCUGUUGGGAGUCCUUAGUAUACGAAAUGUAAGCUGGUACUUUUCCUUAUCUUUUCUACUAUACAAGAAGAGCCUUUUGUGAGAACAAAGCUAACACUUAAGAAAAUCAUUUCAAGGAAUAGAGAAGAUUUUCUUGAUGGAUUCAGCCGUACUUGAAACUCUGAUUUACCUCCAGGCUUUUCAAUUACCCAGCUUAUUGAUACCUCCUAUCACAGGAAGAGCCUUCCUUGCUGCCCUACCUGACCUACAUAAAGCAAUGGAAAUAAUUGAUUAGGAACAAAAAGACCUUAAACCCAUCUGUAUUCAGCAAAAACUUCUACUGAAGUGGAAAGUAAGAGAUUUUAAAGGACAUUCUGAGUCCCGAGAAACAUCUUCAUUCGUCUGGAAUGCAUUUGAACAUGCAAGAGAAAAUAACCUGAUACAAGAUGGUCAUAGAUGUGGCCCACUGAACUUACCAUGGCUCACAUUCCCACCUGUGAGCAGCAAGGGAACAAUUAACAUUAUAGAUGAGCCACUUGUUUUUGGAAUGGAGCACAGCUGCUGUCUAAUGGCCCGGAGGAACCACAGCCUGAGACCAGAAGUGAAGGAGAAUACUUGCCUAACUCAAUCUGAAGGUGAAAUCGAAGCAAGCAGAUUCUAGUGUUCCAAGAAUCAGGACUGGCCAGUCAUGAGGAUUAACAUCCCUUCUCUCAAUGACACUAUGCCAAGAGUUUUUGUUUUGUUUUGCUAUUUUUUUUAAAUGAGCAACAGCCUUCAGAUCCUGAGUUUAAAGGCCUGAUGCAGGCCUGAGUCAUUGGCACCGCUCUGUAACUCCUCUCUGUUGCAGGUGUGCUGAGGGGCUCCUCUGGGCCCAGCCAACCCCCCUCCCCUUCCUCCUCACUCCCCUCUCUCCACCUGACAAUUGUAAAAUUUAAGGAGCAGAUCCUCUCAGGGUGGUAUAGCUUCAGGCAUAUGAAUUCUUUCCGGGGCUCUUUGAGCUUGGAAGCAGUUUAAAGGUAAGAAGGUUUGAAGAGUGAAUGAGUUCCCAAGAAUAAACAUGUUUCAAAGGAACCUGAAUGAGGGACUUUGUUUAUGCGGGUUUUAUAUGACGUUUGCUUACUUAAUGUAGUAACUCCUUGAACAUAUUGCCUUGUAUGAUAUAAUUUAUUUACAUAAUUCUGGAUUGGAAAGUCAUGAGCAAACCCUAGGAAAACUUCUAGAAAAAAGAAAACUUGUUUUUAUAAGGAUUUUAAAAUUAAAUAUACGUUAUGUGUAUACCUAGGUAUAGCUAUGUGGAUGUAUAAAAAUCCACAGAUACAGAAGAUUAUAUACCUGUAUAGAUAAUAGAGAGAAUUAAAUUAGAUAUAAAUAUUUGAAAAAGAGGGCAAAAAUAAAUGUAGAUCAAAAUCCAAUUUCCAGCCUGUUUUAAUUUAUGCCAAAUUAUUUCCUACAUGACAUAAAAGAAUAUGGUGCUUUUAAAUUAUUAUGAUCCAAGUUUUGCUUUUUUAAGCAUUUCAGUUUUUGCCACAUUGAUCUGUUACAAAACUAAGGAAGUCCUUUAAAGCACUGAACUGUUCAAAACUCUCAUGACAGAAUUAUGAUAAAAUAUUUUAAAAAGCAGAGUUUACCUUUAGUGUCUCCUGAAAAGAGGAGAAAAGAAUUUCUCCCACAGAGUACCUAGGUAAAGGAAAGGAAAAAGAGUCUCUCUUUCUAGAAGUGUAAGUGUGCUCACUUUCUUAAAAAAAAAAAUUUUAUGUCCCACAAAAGAGAUUAUAAG